rnacentral:rRNA from 1 species
CGGGGGGCAGCAGUGGGGAAUAUUGGACAAUGGGCGAAAGCCUGAUCCAGCAAUGCCGCGUGAGUGAUGAAGGCCUUAGGGUUGUAAAGCUCUUUCACCGGGGAAGACUAUGACGGUACCCGGAGAAGAAGCCCCGGCUAACUUCGUGCCAGCAGCCGCGGUAAUACGAAGGGGGCUAGCGUUGUUCGGAAUUACUGGGCGUAAAGCGCGCGUAGGCGGUCUGCCAAGUCGGGGGUGAAAGCCCGGGGCUCAACCCCGGAACUGCCUCCGAGACUGGCAAGCUAGAGUAUGGAAGAGGGUCGUGGAAUUCCCAGUGUAGAGGUGAAAUUCGUAGAUAUUGGGAAGAACACCGGUGGCGAAGGCGGCGACCUGGUCCAUAACUGACGCUGAGGCGCGACAGCGUGGGGAGCAAACAGGAUUAGAUACCCCCGU